AUCACUUCUUGGCCUUUUGGCUAAGAUCAAGUGUAGUAUUAAUCACCCUCAAAUAUGGAGGGUUUUUUAUACAUUAGAUACUUGAGAUAUUUCUAGGUAAAUGGAUACACCUUGAGACCAUGCCCUUAAGUAAAAUAAACUGGACACACGUGUGUAAAU
ensembl:snRNA U2 U2 spliceosomal RNA